rnacentral:rRNA from 1 species
CAGUCGCCACGGGAAUACGUAGGUGGCAAGCGUUGUCCGGAAUUAUUGGGCGUAAAGGGCUCGCAGGCGGUUUCUUAAGUCUGAUGUGAAAGCCCCCGGCUCAACCGGGGAGGGUCAUUGGAAACUGGGAAACUUGAGUGUAGAAGAGGAGAGUGGAAUUCCACGUGUAGCGGUGAAAUGCGUAGAGAUGUGGAGGAACACCAGUGGCGAAGGCGACUCUCUGGUCUGUAACUGACGCUGAGGAGCGAAAGCGUGGGGAGCGAACAGGAUUAGAUACCCCUGUAGUCCCUGUCUCUUAUAC